AACAAAUAUAUACAGCAGUGUCCCUUGCCAUCCUGUGUACUCCUAGUCCUAGGAAUCGAGAAUGGAAGGUCCAUCGCUGCCAUGGCUCCUCUUGGCCACCCUCGCCUCUUGUAUCAGCAUCACGUACAAACUCUUGAUUCAUGGCAAGAAAAAUCCAACAACAAAGACAACACCGAGUCGACUGCCGCCAGGCCCGGCAGGGAUCCCUCUCCGGGGCAACAUCUUCGACCUCAAAGGUGAGCUGCACAACGCCCUGGCCAGGCUCGCCGGGGUACACGGCCCCGUCAUGUCCCUGAAGCUCGGCACCACCACGGCCAUCGUCGUCUCCUCCACGGCGUGCGCCCGCGACGUCCUGCAGACGCACGACCGCCUCCUAGCGGCCCGCUCGAUCUCAGACGCGGCCCGGGCGCUGGGCAACCACGAGCGCGCCGUCAUCUGGCUGCCGUCCAGCAGCCCGCUGUGGAAGCGGCUCCGCGCGCUGUGCGCCAGGCACCUCUUCUCGGCGCACGGCCUCGAAGCGACGCGGGCCGCGCGGGAGGAGAAGGCCAGGGAGCUCGUGGGCUGCCUCCGGGCCCGGGCCGAGGCCCACGAGGGCCAGGCCGUGGACGUGGGCCGCGUCGUGCUCUCCGGGCCGCUCAACGUCAUGUCCAACGCGCUCUUCUCCGAGGACGUGGCUGACCUGCGGCGCCCCGCGGCGGCGGCGCAGGAGAUGGAGAUGCUCAUCAAGGACGUCCUUGAAGAGCUCACCAAGCCCAACUUGUCGGACCUCUUCCCCGCGCUGGCCGUGCUGGAUCUGCAGGGCCGCCGCCGCCGCCGCCGCCGCCGGGCCGCUGAGAGGCUGACGAAGUUCUUUGACUUCUUCGAUCCGAUCAUCGGCCGUCGGAUGGCCGGUGGUGGUGAACGGAAAGAUGAUUUCUUGGAUGUGCUGCUCCAGCUUCACUCCGAGGGUCAGAUGAGCAUUCAGACUGUCAAGUCAUUUCUUGCGGCUUGCGUAGCCGGGGUGUGUCGGGGGGGUGAUGUUGAUAGCUCACUUGGUCACUGGGAGCCAACGGAAUAGUCAAGCGCCAGAAACGAAACCUCGUCUUGGUUGAAGUGCAUAAAUCUAUAUAAGGGUUAUUAAGGAACGGAAGAAGUAGUUAGGUAAGAGCAUCUCCAAUAAUACAUGUCAGCAGUUACUAAUGGUGUGCCAUGUAGGAUUUUUUAUGAUGUGGAAAGAAAAAGGCAUGAAAAGUGAAGUAGUGGUUACUUGUAUAAGAAACUGAUCUGACUCUUGUACCAAGACAUAAGUAACAACAAAACACUUGUUGGAGAGAUCUCUUGUUACUAAAACCUUGCUUUGUGGGUCCCACCUUCUCACAUUCAUCUAUUUCUUUUUCAAUCUUAGUACUAGAUCUUAGUAACCAUCUAUUGGAGAUGUUGUUACUAGUGCAAAAUAAAAUAUUCACUCUCCUCUUAGUAAUGACCUAAGUAUCACCUUGUUGAAGAUGCCCUAACACUCGCUCCAUCACCGUCGAGGUCACCAUAGGUCGGCUGCUCACUUCCUAUCCCCCACUCCCCUCCCCACUACCUUGCAAACUCAUCCUCCUGAUUCUCUACUUCUUCCUCCUCCCUGAACCAAAGGAAAUUCAGGAAUUUACCCAGUGACAAUAAGCUGAAAAGCCAAAAGAAAUCUAAUAUAAAAAGAGUUACCUGAGAAGAUGACUAAAUAAUAAACUAAAUGACUAAAAAUUACAAUAAAUGUUCUGCUAAAAUUCACUUCUAUACUGCUCAGUGUGUUCCAAAAUAUAAGACGUAUAGCUUUUGUUGAUUGCUAGAUUUAUGAAGUUUGAUCAAGCUUGUAUCAAAAUACAUUAAUAUACGAGGUACUCACCGGUUGUAGUUACCCCCUACCCAUCUUGCGUUGAUCGAUCUCUCCGUGCGUCCACCGAUCGAACCUCCUGCUAACGGGUAGAGAAAAGCUGCUACGUGAAACCGGACCCAACUCGAGAGGAUAAAUACAUUUUUAAAUAAUUAACAACUAAUGCCGGUGAUUAUCUAGUUUUUGUUUCCUUCGUCCUCAUCCAGCGCAGAUUUGACUUCCGUUUGAGAGCUAUCGCCUACCAACAAACUAACUAACAGAAAUUUCUCCAUGCUAAUCCAUCCACACUACCGAUCUCUCUCUCCCCCCUCUCUCUCAUCCAGCCAGCACCACUGCAGUCCGCAGGUCGUUCCUGAACCUCGCGUAGUCGCGCCUUGUUCGCUGCAGCUGCACGGCUUUCAUCGACCUCCAGUACAUGCAGCUGCCUCGCUGGCGCCGGCGCCCGCCACGGUUCACUGCUAUCGCUGAUCCAGCAGAAUACUAAUCCAGUACGGAGAGACUCGUUGGAUCGGAAGACUCGAGACCAGCGAAGGGAGUGAAUGCAUCAAUUCUAGUACCCAUCGGUCCGGCUACUCCGGAUAGAUUGAUAUAAUUUGAGAGGAUCGAGAGAUUGACUGAACUGGUUGAGUUGCAUGGUAGAAGUGUAGAAUAAUCUAAGAAGAUUGUCGUGUAAUGGCCGCCGCCGGCCGCCUGCAGAAGAACAAACAAUGAUCGAUCAUGGCGCAUUGCGAAAAAAAGGCCACGGCAGGAGUACUCGCGGACAUAUUUCUCUCGAUCUAAGACGAAUUAAACACUUGAUAGUGUAGUAGUUAUAAUUUAUAUGCAUGAACAAUCCCUAUGUAAAUUCUGUAAAAAAAAAUUCAAUUUGAUUUGAGAGCUCCAACCUGUGAUUCUCUCAAUUUAUUAAUAAA